UUUAGUCGGUUUGUUUUAGUCGAUUGCCUUUCAAUGUUGACAACUUUUAAUUGUUUAUUAUUUCCAUUUCAUGUGUAAAUCCAUUGUUUAUCAUCGACUUUGGUGCCUUUUCAACUUAUCCAUUCCAAAUUUUGCAAUAUGCAAUAUGUAUUUCUCUGUUGAUCUUUGCAAUUCCAAGGCUUAAUCUGUGAUAGUGUAAAUCUGGGUUUAAGUAUCAUUUGUUUGAUUGAUUGACAAUUUGUCGCUGAUAAUAUAUUAUCAUUGCUUAACUUGUUCGUCUUUUGUUUCAUCUUGUCUCUUGCUUGGAAGGAUAAUUUUCAAUUGCUCAAACUUGCCAAGACUCUAUUCAAUAAUCAACUUGUUUAAUAUUACAGAAAUAUGAAAAAUUGUUUCACUUCAUGUAUUAUGCAUUGAUUAUGGCUGUUCAUUAUUGUCUGCUGAAUUCAUUUAAUUCAUGCUGCGUGCUCCUAACAAGCAUUUAUUUCCUACCUUUAGUCGUAUUUGCAUUGGUUAAAACUAGAUGUUGUUAAUAAAUUUAAUAAUAACCAUGUAAAGGCAAUUUGAUAUUAUACUUUUCCUUAAGUUGAAUCUGCAAAAUUUAAACAAAAUGGCAAAGUAAACUUGAUGUUAGUCUGGAAUAGCUCAGUUUUAAACGUUUAUUGGAUGAUGUUUUCUGUAUAUCUUUCAAAUCUCAGGCCUUGGUAUAUUUUAAAACCUGAUAAAUCAAUAAACUGGUUCAAAAAGUGUUUCUAAGCCUUUUUAAUUCAACGCAUCAUGCACUUAAGAAUCAUUUUGAACAGAGAGUUUACUUUGAAAAGGGAAAGAUUGCAGUCAACGGUUAAUUUCCAUUGUUUACCCUUUAGACUUUCCCCUUAAUGUGGUUGUUUAUUCAAAUUAACAACGUAAUCAUGAUAGUGUUUGGAAAUAGUUUAGUGAUUUGAUAAUAGUUACUUUAUACUUGAUUCUCACUAAUUUUAAUUCAAUUGCUUUGUCAACAAUAUUUUUGAAUUAACCACUUCCAUUGUUUCACCGUUUCUGCUUGCCUUUGUGUUUUCCAUAGCCAAUCAUGUGAUGAUAAGAAAAGAGCGCAUUUUGAUAAGCUCGCCAUCUUUUGUUCAAUGCUAAUUUGUUUACUUUUUUAAAAAAACAAUUUGUAUUAACUAAAUUUGAGGACUAUUUUUUCAUGGUUAACUGUAAUCACUAUCUUAUUGAUUCUAUUGGUGGUGAUAAUGAGGAUUCUUGUUUCAUCAGUUCGAGGUUAAACCCGGAUUCAAAUUGGGCCUCAUUUGGACCGUUUAAAUGACAACCCAGUGCUUAACCUUUGUUUGGUUACAAUGUAGUUGAUGAUGUUUUUGGUCUUGACUAUACAGACUGAACGCCAUUCAGAUAACCAAGGCUGUACAACCCUGGAGAUCUUAAGACAAGCCAGGAUGAUGAUAAAUUUUCUUCCUACACGCACAUUAACAUGAUCAGGAUGAUGGUAAUAAGGAUGACUCUAGCAACUGUUGGCGAUAGAUGAAACCUUUUGGUUGAUUGAAAUAAAUUAAGAAUCAUGUCUCCUCUAUGCGCAAUCCAUGAUUCUUACCAUUGUUCAUCCAUUGGGUCUGUUGAUCUCGAUUAAUGUGAUUUUUAUCAUCGCUCAGAUAUUAAUUGAAUCACCAGCCUUUGAUCAUCUUUCAGCUGACAGUGUCACGUUGCGUUCAUCAGUCAUCUUAUUUUCUCUCUUCAAAUAUACAACUUUCCUGUUAUGUCUCAAGCCCUUUUACAUCAUCUUCACACAAUUGGUUAUCGAAGUCAACUUAAAAUAAUACAAUUUGGUUCAUUGAGCACAUAACUACCAUCAUCACUAACAGCAACAAGAAGGACGACGACAAUGAUAAUGACAAUCAUAACCGUCAACCUUUCCACCUCGACUUGACGAAACCUGCCAAUUAUGUAAAAAAAAGGUAUCUCAAAUCACUAUCUACCAGCAAUGAUUCUCAAAUCAGCAUUUUGAAAUUUUAAUUUACAUUAAUAUUUGUAUAAAACCGUCAAACACCAACCUACUGAUCCUUUUAGGCAUACUUUUACAUUUACUGUUAACAUCAUUACCGGGUUAAACGCGAGUCUUUCAAGUGUUACAUUAAUUGUAUCACCAGAAUCAUUAAAAUCACAAUGACGAGGUUAAAAGCAGAGGAAAUGGUGAAUAUUACCAUUAUUAUUGCCGGAAAAUUCAAUAUCAGAUAAAAAAACCAAAUUUAUGCCAACAUAUGAUUGGACUUGAUUCAACUAACCUUCAGUUCAAUGAUCUUUUGCUCUACUAGUAACUAAAACAGCAAUAGCAACAAAUAAUAGAGGAAUCAUAUUGAAUCUGAUGAAGAUAUGAAUUAUCUGUGCCGUACUUUACCUUUGUUAUUCAAUCUAUUUGUUUGCUGUUUUUAUUUGUGUUUACCUGUUUUGUUUAUUUGUUUAAUUUGGCUAAACACUUUCUUCCUUGAUUCAACCAAGUCAGGUAAAGAUGCCUUCACCAAAUUUAAUGCAAACCCAACAAACAAAAAGGCAUCAUAACCGUUAUCAUACCAGUCAUCAUUGUCUUCUGCGGGUUCAAGAAUCAAAAGAAUUGGUAUUCAGUCUGAUCUAUUGGAAGUUUCCUUUGACAUGGAGAAGACCUUUUGUUCAAUGAUGAUCAUGAUACCUUUUUUUACACCAAUUUGUUUUAUUCCUCUUUGAUUUCACUUGAAACACUUUUGUUUGUCAUUAUGAUUAUCAUCACCUAACAGCACAAAAGAAGCAUAAAAAUGUCUCUCCAUUUCAUUAAAUUGAAUCAUUUUUCAUCAUUAACAGUCUAUGAUUGCAUUAUUGUUGUUCAAUCAUGGACUAUUAUUGUCAACCUUAUUGCGUCCAGUUAAUAAAAUUGAGAAUAUAAAAAA